ACUGCUCAGUAACACGUGGCUAAUCUGCCCUUGGGACCGGAACACCCCCGGGAAACUGGGGCUAAUUCUCGAUAGGUGAAGCACUCUGGAAUGAGUCUUCGCCAAAUAGACGCUGCGUUAUGCUCGUAGGCGUCGCCCAAGGAUGAGGCCGCGACCGAUCAGGUUGUUGGUGAGGUAAUGGCUCACCAAGCCUUUUACCGGUGCGGGCCGUGAGAGCGGGAGCCCGGAGAUGGGCACUGAGACAAGGGCCCAGGCCCUACGGGGCGCAGCAGUCGCGAAAACUUUGCAAUACACGAAAGUGUGACAGGGCUAUCCCGAGUGCCAUCCGCUGAGGAAGGCUUUUACCCAGUCUAGAACGCUGGGGGAAUAAGGAGAGGGCAAGUCUGGUGUCAGCCGCCGCGGUAAUACCAGCUCUCCGAGUGGUGUGGAUGUUUAUUGGGCCUAAAGCAUCCGUAGCUGGCUAAGUUAGUCCCUUGUUAAAUCCACCGAAUUAAUCGUUGGAUUGCGGGGGAUACUGCUUGGCUAGGGGACGAGAGAGGCAGACGGUAUUUCCGGGGUAGGGGUGAAAUCCUAUAAUCCCGGGAAGACCACCAGUGGCGAAGGCUGUCUGCUAGAACGCGCCCGACGGUGAGGGAUGAAAGCUGGGGGAGCGAACCGGAUUAGAUACCCGGGUAGUCCCAGCUGUAAACGAUGCAGGCUAGGUGUUUGGACGGCCACGUGCCGUUCUAGUGCCGCAGGGAAGCUGUUAAGCCUGCCGCCUGGGGAGUACGAUCGCAAGAUUGAAACUUAAAGGAAUUGGCGGGGGAGCA
rnacentral:rRNA from 1 species